GACCACACGGGGUUUGCUUUGGUCCUUCGAUACAAGAGCUGUAUGUAUUGCACACUUUCCAACCGUUCACUUACGGGUUCUAUUUUCAAACUUUACAUGCUUUCCUUACUUUAUCUGACAAAUAUAUAUCAAACUUGAUUCAUUUAUUACAGUAUCAAGGGAACGAAUGUAGAAGGACUGGGUGAGAACAUAGAAUCAUCAGGUCAGCAAGCAGUUACUAGCUCUCAAUAUGAAGAACUUAGUGGAGGAGGCAGAGAUCCAGAAAACAGUUAUGAAGUCAUAGGAUCGCAAGGCGUGAAUGAUCAUGGAGAUGCUAGGGCAACAUAUGAAAGUUUACAUACUCAGAGCGAUGAGAACAAAUAUGAGGCUUUACAAGAUCAAAAAGCAUAUCAUGGAAAAGAUGAGACCUAUUACAACUCAAAGUUGCAGUUGCCGACUAAUGUGUACUUCAACACUUCAUUUCAGAACUAGUAUGUUCCCAUGAAAUUCGGACAACCAGUCUUCACGAUAAUGAUGAUUUUGUUUUGAUGAAUCUCGUAAAUAUUUUUGAUUUCAAUGAAAGCUUUUUAUGUAUAAUGGUAUAUCUGGGAUUUACAAAUUUAAAGAAAUAUACUUUGUGUAUGAUCAUUAAUUCUAGAAUAUCGAACCUUGUUUGUUUCAUACCGGUAUUUGAUAUAUAUUGCAUAUACUGCACAUCAUUUUCUGUCACAAAGUUUGAAUUUUCCUUUUGCUUUGUAUUGUCUAGAUCAGAAUACUCAUCACUAUUUAAAUAAAAUAUUUUAAAAGAA